rnacentral:rRNA from 1 species
CACGUAGGGGCGAGCGUUGUCCGGAAUCAUUGGGCGUAAAGAGCUCGUAGGCGGCUCGGUAAGUCGGGUGUGAAACCCCCAGGCUCAACCUGGGACGCCACCCGAUACUGCUGUGGCUAGAGUCCAGUAGGGAGUGUGGAAUUCCCGGUGUAGCGGUGAAAUGCGCAGAUAUCGGGAGGAACACCAGCGGCGAAGGCGGCACUCUGGGCUGGAACUGACGCUGAGGAGCGAAAGCGUGGGUAGCAACAGGA